UUUCUACCUUCUGAUUUUUUGUAGUCUUACAUCCUUCAACCUUUGGAGCUUUACAAGUCUCAGACCACGUUUUUCCUAUUGCACUACCACUUUGUCUUUUAAGGCUUUUCUCUCUCGCUAGUAGUGUUGUUGCCAUUCAUGGAGAUAGCGCCACUAAGGUUGUAUUCUCAUGUCUCCUUCUAUAGUUGUCAUUUUGCCUUCGAAUAUAUUAGAAAAUGUCAUGUGGAUAGACUCAACUGUGUUAAAUGCUAUUUUCGUUAUGGAUAUAGAAAUGUUAGAGAAAUUACUCAUACUUUUUGUAAAAACAAAAAUGAAGAGGAGAACUAUGAUUUGUUAGCGCCUGACU